AUGGUUUUUGUUUGUUUAAGGAAAUACCAGUUGGUAUUCUGCUACACCAUCAUUGAAAGGAACAACAGGCAAUUUUUGCCAGUCAUCAGAAGCAGCAGUGGGGGUGAUUCUGUACAGACUUGCACUAACCCGCUUGACAGUUUUUUCCCAUUUGAUCCUUACAUUCUCAAAAGAUCAAAGAAGACCAUUGAUCCUAUUUAUCAGAUUUGGGAAGAACUGAGUACUGAAGAUCUUCAAGAACUUAAGAAACCCUUU